CAGCCGCCGCGGUAAUACAGAGGGUGCGAGCGUUAAUCGGAUUUACUGGGCGUAAAGCGUGCGUAGGCGGCUUCUUAAGUCGGAUGUGAAAUCCCUGAGCUUAACUUAGGAAUUGCAUUCGAUACUGGGAAGCUAGAGUAUGGGAGAGGAUGGUAGAAUUCCAGGUGUAGCGGUGAAAUGCGUAGAGAUCUGGAGGAAUACCGAUGGCGAAGGCAGCCAUCUGGCCUAAUACUGACGCUGAGGUACGAAAGCAUGGGGAGCAAACAGGAUUAGAUACCCCCGUAGUUCCUGUCUCUUAUAC
rnacentral:rRNA from 1 species